rfam:Nicotiana attenuata strain TT scaffold05866, whole genome shotgun sequence.
UACCUAGUUGAUCCUGCCAGUAGUCAUAUGUUUGUCUCAAAUAUUAAGCCAUGCAUGUGUAAGUAUGAACAAAUUAAGACUGUGAAACUGCGAAUGGCUCAUUAAAUCAGUUAUAGUUUGUUUGAUGGUAUCUACUACUCGGAUAACCGUAGUAAUUCUAGAGCUAAUACGUGCAACAAACCCCGACUUCUGGAAGGGAUACAUUUGUUAGAUAAAAGGUCCACGCGGGCUCUGCCCGUUGCUGUGAUGAUUCAUGAUAACUCGACGGAUCGCACGACCAUCGUGCCGGUAAUGCAUCAUUCAAAUUUUUGCCCUAUCAACUUUCGAUGGUUGGAUAGUGGCCUACUGUUAGACCCUAACUCUUUGUCAUCGGGCGUGGCACGACUGUGACAAGGAUUUGGGCGUGAUGGCCUUGUCAUUGGCCUAUGUGCAGGCAAAACGAUCAUGCGGGCGACGGACAUGAUUUUGUCAUUGAGGGUUGUUGUGAACAAGUAUUGGCCAAGGCCUUGGGACAGGCAAGGCGCGCUUGGCAAAGGCUUGACAAAGCAGCGUGGGCUAUGUUAGGGCGGCAUGGCACGGCAUGCGCACCAAAGUCAGUGGCAUGGCACUUUUAGUUGUGGCAGCUAAGUGCGGGCUAAGCUAAGGAAAAACGGGAAUGUGGGAUGAUGGAAAAGGCUUUCAAUAGCUAAGGCAAGGCUAUGUGAAGGUAAAUACAAGCAAUGGCACGAGGGAAAUGAAGGUUGACAUGGGCAAGGCAAAAACUAGGCCAAGGCAGUGCGCGGGCGGCAGCGGCGUCGGGCGUGUGCGGCAAAAUCAUGGCAGCGGGUUACGGGCAAGACAUUGGCGCGGAGCAAUGUCAAAUUGAGCUAAGGCUUGGCACAAAGCAAGCCUUGAGCGAAAUUCAGCUGGCCAAGUGAAGAUGGCACAUGCAAUGCACAUGAAAAGCAAUUUUGGCGGUUACCUUGUCAUAACCUCUUUGUCCCAUGACUGAUUAUGCUUGUACCCAUUAUCCAUUUCGUGUAUAUCAUGUCCUAAGUAGUUGGGGAUGUCAACUACAUGUUAGGAUCAGAUUUAGCCUUAGCCCGACAAGUGGAAAAAGCUGUAGACAACAAGUGUCAUUGUGCUAUCAAGUCUAAGGGCUGCCUAUGUUCUAUAAAUAGGGCCUUUGGGACUUAGUCAGAGGUAUGUGGGUAAUUUCGUGUGAAAUUAUAAGUGGGAAACAAGAGUGAAAUGUGAGGGUUUCAAAGUGUUUCAAAGGGGACUAAGGCUAGGCUUGGACAGGUCUUAGUGUUGGCCAAGAACGACUUGUAUUGUGUUCAUAGCAAAGUGAGGGUCCUUUGUAUGUUUUCGAAAAAAGGGUUGGGAAUUUACCCGUAUUGGCUUUGUGUUCUUACUUGAAUUCUGAUUUGUUUCCUAAAAAUUCGUCAAGGCCAAACUUGCUGAAAUUUGGCUAAGUGUGAAGGAAGGCAGAGUCAAGUGCGAAACUUGACUGCCACACGGGUGUGACUUUGGUCUGACCAAAAACGCCCCCGUGACACCUACCAUGGUGGUGACGGGUGAUGGAGAAUUAGGGUUCGAUUCCGGAGAGGGAGCCUGAGAAACGGCUACCACAUCCAAGGAAGGUAGCAGGCGCGCAAAUUACCCAAUCCUGACACGGGGAGGUAGUGACAAUAAAUAAUAAUACUGGGCUCUAUGAGUCUCGUAAUUGGAAUGAGUACAAUCUAAAUCCCUUAACGAGGAUCCAUUGGAGGGAAAGUCUGGUGCCAGCAGCCACGGUAAUUCCAGCUCCAAUAGCGUAUACUUAAGUUGUUGAAGUUAAAAAGCUCGUAGUUGGACUUUGGGAUGGGUCGGCCGGUCCGCCUUAGGUGUGCACCGGUCGUCUCGUCCCUUCAGCCGGCGAUGCACUACUGGCCUUAAUUCGCCGGGUCAUGCCUCUGGCGCUGUUACUUUGAAGAAAUUAGAGUGCUCAAAGCAAGCCUACUGUCACGGGCUUAACUCAAGUAAGCACGUGCGGACAGCUUGACAGCUUAUCUACCGCUCCAAACAUUAGUCCUAACGAAAUAGCAAGCACAAACUCGUGCUCAAGCUAAGGCAAACACACACACGCACAAAAGCUGGAAAGGCAAUGAAAUGAAAGGCACACAAGGAAUGGGAGGCCAAGGCCAAUUUUCUGAUUUACUUGAUAAACAAAGGGAAAAUUACAAAGUGUUUAUGAGAUGCCUUUGAUACAGGCCUUAUACAUCUAUUUAUAAUGUCCAGCCACUAGCUGGCUUGAACUACAAAGAAAGACAAAGAAAAGACCCACAAGGGGCUGCCUAACUAAAAGAGGAAGGGCUGUUGGGCGCCCAGCUGGUCUAUGCCCAAAAUGGGCUGGUUGGCUUUGGCUUUGAGCAGCCUAUCCCUUUCAUGGCAGGCCUUGGGCAGAAUCACGCCCAGCUUUGUGCUGCUGGUACUUGCUUGCAUUAAUUGGCUUGCAUGCUUGUCUUUGACUCUUCCAAGU